AUUUUGGGCAUCGACGAGCUAUUUCAGAAAUCAACUUGAAGUUGAAUAGAUCUUCUUUCUGGACAAAAUGUCCAACAUUGUGUUGUGCUCGCAUUCGACAGAGGCAGAGCCAGAUCCUGAACAAGUACGCUGGUUAGAGACUGAAUUUCGCUGCCAACAUAAAGCCAAACCAAGAACAGCAACAGCUGAUCAACGCAGGGGGUCAAAGAACACAUCUUGUCCAGCGGGCCUGAUUAUUGUUGUGAAAGUCAGCACCUUUGAAAGGUCAGACGGGAGAGUAAGGAAGUAGCCCAUGUACAUGUAAACAUCAAUACCUACAUGUAGUUGUCAAGAAGUUCAACAUCCAUUGCUGCUGGAACUUCAUUUCUGCCAAUGAUGUACCAGUGAGGAAACUGUUGUACUUAACAUACAAGGUGGCCACAGGCUGUGCAAAUGCCCCAGAAGAAUGGUUUAUCUCUUUGAACCAUCAAAGUGGACCAAAACAAGCAGAAACCAACUUGAUAAUGGAGUCCAUAAGCAAUACAACUUAUGAAAAUGAUGGUAUUGAUGAACACAGCAUGGACUCGAUGAACGAUGGGGAAAACAGAAAUGAAGGAGCUGUCUGCACAGAUGUUGAGAUUUCAGACAAUGGACACGAUGAGAUUUCAGACAAUGGACACGAUGCUGUUACGAAUCCAUGGCUAGCAAGUUUACACUUGCAAUGCUCUCUUCAAAACCAAUUUGAUACACGCGGUUGCACAUCAAAAUGAAGUGCUGAGAACGGAAGUGACCCAAUACUCAAUGAGCUAAACAAGGGAUUUCUUGCUUUACAGCAAAGCUACAUAGGAGACUAAGAAUUCCUUGGAGGACCAGUACAUAAAUUCACCAAGAAACUUCUGAAACUAAAUUCUGGAACAAAUACUGGGUUAGCUUCCAUGCUUGAACCCCCAUUCCACAGAGAACAAGACCGCUGUAAGACCUCAA
rnacentral:misc_RNA from 1 species